AGAGAUGUAUGUGAGCGCUUCGAG
rnacentral:piRNA from 1 species